AUUGAACGCUGGCGGCAUGCCUUACACAUGCAAGUCGAACGGCAGCAUGGGUGCUUGCACCUGAUGGCGAGUGGCGAACGGGUGAGUAAUGCAUCGGAACGUACCCGGAAGUGGGGGAUAACGUAGCGAAAGUUACGCUAAUACCGCAUAUUCUGUGAGCAGGAAAGCGGGGGAUCGCAAGACCUCGCGCUUCCGGAGCGGCCGAUGUCGGAUUAGCUAGUUGGCGGGGUAAAGGCCCACCAAGGCAACGAUCCGUAGCGGGUCUGAGAGGAUGAUCCGCCACACUGGGACUGAGACACGGCCCAGACUCCUACGGGAGGCAGCAGUGGGGAAUUUUGGACAAUGGGGGCAACCCUGAUCCAGCCAUGCCGCGUGAGUGAAGAAGGCCUUCGGGUUGUAAAGCUCUUUCGGCCGGGAAGAAAUCGCACAGGUUAAUACCUUGUGUGGAUGACGGUACCGGAAUAAGAAGCACCGGCUAACUACGUGCCAGCAGCCGCCGUAAUAC
rnacentral:rRNA from 1 species